rnacentral:lncRNA from 1 species
UUGGGGGUCUCUUCAACCUCUUCUUCUGGCUUUUCCUUCACAGCCUCAACUUUGACUUCCUCAGCCUUCUCCUCCUCCUUUGCCGGCUUCACCUCCUCGGUGACCGCGGCAGCGGUUACUUUCUCAAUCUUGGGAGCCUGUGGUGAUGGCUCCCAUGACUACUGUCUGAGAUUUAGCGAGCUAAAAGGAGAUGGACAAGAAUAUUUGAUUGAGAAAAU